rnacentral:rRNA from 1 species
CGAAGGAUCCAAGCGUUAUCCGGAUUUAUGGGUUUAAAGGGUGCGUAGGCGGAUUAUUAAGUCAGUGGUGAAAAGCUCCAUGCUCAACAUGGAAAUUGCCAUUGAUACUGAUGAUCUUGAGUACACUUGAAGUGGGCGGAAUGUGUCAUGUAGCGGUGAAAUGCUUAGAUAUGACACAGAACACCGAUUGCGAAGGCAGCUCACUAAAUUGUAACUGACGCUGAGGCACGAAAGCGUGGGGAUCGAACAGGAUUAGAUACCCUGGUAGUCCACGCCCUAAACGAUGAUUACUCGAUGUGUGCAAUACACCGUACGCGUCUGAGCGAAAGCAUUAAGUAAUCCACCUGGGGAGUACGACCGCAAGGUUG